GGGGCGGCGCAGCCCCGCGCGGUUGUGGGAUCGCUCCCGGGGGCCGCUCCUCUCUCGGGCACUGGGGUCGCGGGAGACGUCGUCGGGAGCUCGGUUUCUGGAGGCCCUUCCCCACCCGGCCUCUGCCUCCUCCACUCCCCCGGGCUGGACGGAACGGGGCCCAGCGCGGGAUGCGAGAGGUAUGAUUUCGCUCUGUCGCCCAGGCUGGAGGGCAGUGGCGCAAUCUCGGCUCACUGCAGCCUCGAACUCCUAGGCUGAAGCGAUUCUCCCGCCUCAGCCUCCAAAGUAGCCGGUACUACAGGCGCGCGCCACCACGCCUGGCUAAGGUGUGUGUGUGUGUGUGUGUGUGUGUGUCUCCAAAGUAGCGAGGACUACGGGUGUGUGUGUGUGUGUGUGUCUCCAAAGUAGCGAGGACUACAGGCUCCCGCCACUACGCCAGGCUAAGGUAGGGUGUGUAUGUGUGUUAACUUUUUGUAGAGAUGGGAUCUCCCUUUGUAACACGGGCGCCCGCCACUAAGCCAGGCUAAGGUGGUGAAUGUGUGUGUGUGUGUGUGUUAACUUUUUGUAGAGAUGGGAUCUCGCUUCGUAACCCGGGCUGGUAUCGAACUCCUGUCUUCAAGGAAUCCUCCCGUCUGGACUCCUCCCAUGGGAUUACGGGCAUGAGCCACGGCACCUGGCUAUUUUUUUUUUCUAAGCAUUUAAAUAAGCUGGGGCUUGAUUUGGGAGUUUUCUAUUGUAUUUUGAGCUUUGCCGAGGACUUGAUAGUGACCUUGCUUUAAGCUGUGAAAUAAAUCUUGGGGUCCCAGAGCUAUUUUAAUAUUGAAUUCGCUGUGGAGUUGUUUUGAGUUCCUUGGAGGUUAACAUGAGAUAGAAAACUAAGUUAACACAACUCAUCGACUGCCCUUGCUUUGCUUUGCUUUGCUUUUAGAAUGCCAUCGGGUUUUGUCAUGUUGGGAACAAGUUAACUUAGGCCAGUUGACUAAGAUCAAGGAAACUGAGGCCCAGAGAUGAAAUCAUGCCUUGAUUUAUGCAGACCUCAGUACCUGUUCGUGACAAAUCCAGUUACUAAAAGGUAAGAGAAGGAAUAAGGGACUUGAUAUUUAUCUAGCAUCAGCAAUGUGUGGACAUCGUGUGAACGGCUUUAUAAACAUUUCAUUUAAUUCUCUACAUCUAGCCAUUUUUUAACCUGUGCUUUCCCUCCCUCUCAAAGUACUGUUUAUACAUUUAUUAGUCCAUAUUUUAAACGCUCCAUGCUCUCAACUGUAUUAAUGCUAUUUGUUAGGAUAAGUGGCAGAUGUCCAUGGAAAAUAAGUGGCUGCAAAGUGGUAAUGCUGACCAGAUGAGAAAAGAAGUGUAAAAGGGAAGUUCUAAAGAAUUAAAGCCCUGGAGAGGGUGGGUAGACAACAACAGUCCAAAAUAGUGCUCUUCAUUGAGGCUGUGUAGAUUUUCCUGCUUCCUGGGAAAACUGGGGCAUAUUUACACUUGCAUGUGUGUAUUCAGAUUGUCUGGGGCUAUGGAGUUUGGGUCAGAUUGCUGAACCCGUGGGAGAGAAGUUCCCUUGUUGUCUGUUGUUGUCUGUUCUGAUUGCUGCUUUGUAAUUUGGGCCACAUAUGAAAGUCAGCAUCCAGUCAUUGGACCAUAGGUGUGUGGCAUAUCUACUCAGAUGCAUUAAGCUAUUUUUAUUUCAUUAUAAAAUGUAUAACAUUUACAUUCAAAUUAUGGUUUGAAGGGCUUAAGAGGAGAAAGAGACAGUGGCACUAAGGUGACAGCAUGGCUGGCUGCAUGCUUCCUGUCCAAGAAGGUCACUGGGCAGUGUUAACUGGGAAGAGCAUCUGGAGGAUGAGAGAUCAGUGUAGCCACAUACCCUUAACAAAGGGUGGUACAGCCUCUGGUCUGCCAGGAUUUUUGUGCCCCGCCCCCCUCCCCCUCUUUCCCUAUCUCCUCUUUGACAUUUCCACCAUAUUCCCCUUAGGUAUGUACCUGUUUGGACUUUAAUUUAGAGUGUAACUUUUGGUCAAGAAUCCUGGAGAGAAAAGACGGGUACUAAAGCCUCGCUAGUGAUUUACCUGGGUGCCGACCCCCACAACUCAUCCACCCUACAUGCAUACUUCAAACUCCUCCAGGCAGAUACUCCCUGCCUGACACACAGUGACACUUUGGGAAAAAUUGCAGAACAGUAACCAACUCUGAGCAGAUAAAUGUGAUGUCAAAAUGAUAGUAAUGAGAGAUGUCGUUCGUUGAAAGCCUGCUAGCUGCCAUGCACUAUACUAUUUCUUACAUCUAAAUCUGAUUAAGUUAUACCCCAUUUUAUAAAUAGACACUUUGAUAAGUAAACCUAUCUAAGAUCAAAAUACUGAGAAAUGUCCUAAUUGGGGAUUUGAACCUGGUUCUAAUUCCAAAGUCCAAGCUACAUCCACCCCAACCUCCUACCUCCUAUCUCCAAGACUUUGUGAGUAAAAAAACAAGUGUCACUUCUCUCCUUCUCUUUUUUCUGUCCUAAAGGAAGCUGGGAGCUAACCACUUAGGACUAGUACUAAUCUUUCAGAGAAAGGGAUGAGGGGAGCCUUGUUAUUUCUGUGGGGUUCAGCUCUCAGACCAGAGUAAGACAGGCAACAAGGUUGAGGAGUAGCCAUAUGCAGAAAUAACCUGUGUAUCUAGCCACAGGAUCUCCAACACUGUGUCACUCGGGAAUCAAAAUACAGAGACAGUUCCUCAAUAGAGUGUGGAUCUAGCCCAGAAUGUGGACAAGGGGAGUGGAGAAGGGGAGAGGUACACACUGAGCAUUGUAACAAGGCCUGUCCUCAAGCUUGAGGAGGAUUAGGAAGAUGGCUUGAGUCUGGGAGUAGGAGGCUGCAGUGAGCUAUGAUUGUACCACUGUACCCCAGCCUAGGUGACAGAGUGAGACCCUGUCUCUUAAAAGAAAAAAAAAAUUGACCUGGAUCUACUCAUACCCACCCUGGUCUUUGAGCAGAAAGAAUCAUUUGGGAAUUAUUUUGUCUCAUCUUUCUCCAUGAUCACUGUUGAAGAAUUUGGUCACUGUAACCAGGUAAAUAUAAAACUCAGGUGGGCCGGGCGCGGUGGUUCACACCUGUAAUCCCAGCAGUUUGGGAGGCUGAGGUGAGUGGAUCACGAGGUCAGGAGAUCAAGACCAUCCUGGCUAACACAGUGAAACCCUGUCUCUAUUAAAAAUACAAAAAAUUAGCCAGGCGUGGUGGUGGGCGCCUAUAGCUCCAGCUGCUCGGGAGGCUGAGGCAGGAGAAUGGUGUGAACCCGGGAGGUGGAGGUUGCAGUGAGCCGAGAUCGUGCCACUGCACUCCAGCCUGGGUGACAGAGCAAGACUCCGUCUCAAAAAAAACUCAGAUGAACUAUAGCUAAGUCAGUGCUCUUGACACUUUUUUAGCAAUAGUAGCUUUGUUUCUCACAGAAAAAACAAAAUUUUCUGUGGAACCACACUAUUUAAAACAUAAGCAAUAUUAGUAUCAACUUGUAUAAUUUAUAGAUCUACUGAUAAAAACAAUCAAGAAUAGUCUACCUUAAUUGAAUCAGGAGGAGAUAACUGCAGUCUUACAUCAGCCAUACUCGUAUCCAUGAAAUAUGAGUCAGUCAUUUGCACAACUCCCUGAGUCACCUUCUGGAACACAGAAAACACUGAGCCAAGUUAGCCCAGGACCUGAACCUUUUGUGGAAAGGAAAAUCUGUAGUGUCUCCUCAGAGUAUGGCUGCCCUUUCACCUGGUAGUCAGUUUCUCAUGACGGUUACUCGAGCAUUUAUAAGGCAGUUGUGAAAUAACCAAGACAUUCUGUGUGUUGUGCUACUGAUGCUCCUCCUGUCACCGACCUCCUCUCCAAAUGAGGCCUGCCUUUUGUCCUUGGUAGUAGGCAGUCCACAGUGUAACCAGCUACAGGGGAAGUAUUUACUUUGAUAGCCACUUGACCUUGAUCAAGUCAGGUGACUCAUUUCUGGAUAACAUUUUUGAGAGUAUACUGAGCCAGGCACCUUGAGGAUACGAAAGUGGAUUAUAGUUUCCAUUCUGGAGAAACUCACAGUCCAGUAAGUUAAACAAUCACAAGAACAAGUUUCCAGCAAUGAGAGUGAUUACAGCCACUGAGUGGUGAAAUCUGAGAAAUGCAAAGCCUGCCGCCUAUAAAUACCUACAUUUAUCGCCUGGGCAUAUACCUAAAAUUCCACCAUGAGAAAUAUAUUUAUAUGAAAUUAGAAACUACCCAGAAAUUGUGCGUCCAAAUAAAAAUUCCCACAAGAAAUAAGGAUGGCUAAUAGUUUUAAGUAGUAGUGUCAAGUCUUUUGGACCAGAGUAACUGCCAGGGACGUUGUGUUGAGGAUUCUGAGGUCAUGUUCCAGCUUAGCCGAGAAGGGAGCCACCAUGAGGGAACGAGUGAGGGAGGGUAGCACUUGUGCCCCAUAUUUUUUCCUAAGUAAAUCAUUUGUUGAUGGAAUGCAUGAUGAAACAGGGACAGCCAGGGUCUCUGGCAUCUGGGAGAAAGCCCACUUGGAAACUGAUUUAUCUACCUCACCACUGCAAGUUCACCAUUUGUCCCCAGACUAAAUGGCCUUAGGAAGCCCAGGCUCUGUCUUGUCGAACUCUACCUUCUUUAUCCUUCCAUACUUUUCAAGAAGAGAAAUGGUAUAUAUAUGUGGGAUCCUUGAGAACUAGGAUGUACCUGUGAGCAGGCAAAGUGUAGCAUCUAGCAGGGUCAGGCAUAAGUUGGAAGUGAGAGAGGUGGCUACUGUGCUCCCCAAUGGCUGUUCUCCCAUCUCCCAUAGUUUCAAGGCCUGUUUUGUGAGGAACAGCAGUAUGCCCAGCUCAAAGAUGACAGCUGGCCACAGGACUAAGUCUGGCCAAUAAGAUGUGAGUGGACGCUUCCAGAAAAGCUCUCUAAAGAGGCUACCUCUAGCCAGGCGCAGUGGCUCACGCCUGUAAUCCUAGCACUUUGGGAGGCCAAGGCAGUGGAUCACCUGAGGUCGAGAGUUCAAGACCAGCCUGGCCAACAUGGCAAAACCCCGUCUCUACUAAACAUACAAAAAUUAGCCGGGCAUGGCCGUGCCGCAUGCCUGUAAUCCCAGCUACUCAGGAGGCUGAGGAGGGAGAACUGCUUGAACCCAGGAGGUGGAGGUUUGCAGUGAGCUGAGAUGUUGCCACUGCACUCCAGCCUGCACGACAGGAGCGAGCCUCCAUCUCAAAAAAAAAAAAAAAAUAAAAGCUGCCUCUUCUCUGCUUCUUGGAGUAUGGUCAGGAUAGCUGGAAUUCUAGCAUCCAGUUUUGAAUGCCAAGUGACCUUGAAGAUAGAAGCCAUGAACUAAGAUAAUGUCCCUGUGUAAGCUUCUUUUACAUGAGAGAAAUAAACUGUGUGUAUAAAUCAUUGUUAUUUUGAAUUCCCAAGUUGUAUGCAGGCAAAUGUAAUCCCGAUCUAGCCAGGAAUUGGUAUUAUUCAUUGAUAAGAGCUUCAUAUAUUCAUGUUGACAGUUUUCCUUGAUUGGCCCCCAGAUGAUAGGUAUUGUGACCAAGACCUGUGGGGCUAUCAUGUGUACUUGGCUCCCUAUAGGAGAAUCCAGGAUGGAAUGGAAUGAUACAGUAGGCAGCCUCUGGAGCCAAGAUACGGUAUAGGUAGGAAAAAGAAAUGAUUCACCCAAGAGGCAGAUUAGGCCCAUGAAAAUUAGGAUUGUCAGAUGCAUUACUUUAAUACAGCACUUCUUCAGUAUUCCCAGAACUGUAGCUAAUGGUUCCUCUGAAUAGGAAGCUCCUUGAAUAUACCCUGGCAAGAAAUCUUUCUAUCCAAGGUGACUGGCAUUGGGAGGGGAUUUAUUGAGUGUCUCCCUCGAGCCAGGCACUUUCACAUACCUUAAUCUUAGUUAACUGGCUUCACUUCAGACCCUGUCCCUAACAGGACAAAACCCAACAGCAUUUUGAAAGCAAAACAGGGAUAGUUGAUGAGUUGUAUUAACGUACUUGUCUCUGUCUCACGUUAGUAACCUCCAAGGAACUCAAAACGCACUGCAGCUAUAAUUCGACAUUAAAAUAGCCCUGGGCCCCCCAGGAGCAGCUCAAUAGACCCUACUGAAGCAGGCGGUCCUGUCCCUCCCCUGCUUAAAAUCUGUCAGUAGCUUCUCAUUGUUUUUAACUAAAAACCCAGCCCACCUGACAGUCAGGUUGGCCUGCUCGCCAGGCUUUCUCCCCAGCUGCUCAAACCUGCUCACAACUCCCUCUGUGUCUGCCACUCUGGCCUCUCACUUUACUCCUGUGACCUCGUCCCUCUGAGCACCAUUCCUCCCCACCUCUGCAUGUCUUUAAUCUGACUUAAGCUUCAAGGCCUGGCACAAACAAUGCUUUUCCUUUGUCCUUCAUACUGGAGAUCAUAAACUCGCAUAGAUUCUCUCUGAAUAAAUAAAUAUUUUCCAUGCCAGUUAGCAUUUUUUUAAAACUAUAAUGACUGCAAAAUAUAUUGUAUUAGGUGUACUCUAACUUAUUUAACCUCUCCCCAAAGAAUGGACAUUUCAUUUGUUUCUUUUUCAGGAUGAUAAAAAACAGUUACGGGAUGAAAAAAUUUUUUUUUAUUUUUUAUUUUUAGUAGAGAUGGGGUUUCACCAUGUUAGCCAGGAUGAUCUCGAUCUCCUGACCUUGUGAUCCACCCAUCUGGGCCUCCCAAAGUGCUGGGAUUACAGGCAUGAGCCACUGCACCCGGCCGGGGAUGAACAUUUUUAUAUGCUAAUCUUUGUCAGCAUCUGCUCAUUUCUAUAAAAGGAAUCAUUAGAAUUGGAAUUCCUAGGUCAUUUUGACCAAAAAGGAACAUUUUUAAAUCUCUUAAUAUUGCCAUAUGACAUCUUAGAAAGUUUACAUCAUUUUACACAAAUAAUUGUUUCCUUAUCGAUGUUCCAAACCUAGAGAACUUUUGGUCAUUCUGUGAUCUGUAAUUGGAGAAAUUUCCAUUGCUCUAGCAGCAUUUUAUACAUACUUAUCAAGAUGUAUUAUGAUUUAUACACAUUUAUCAAGAUGUAUUAUGUUUUACUUGCAUUUCUCCAAGUAAGCUCUGAAGUGGAAAACAGAACUUGUUUUACUCUUUGUAGCACAGUACUGAGAACAGUAACACCUAACAGGCCCUUUCUAGGUAAAUCUGCAGAAACAGUAAUUGUCUCAAUCUCAGUUUCCCUGUGGUAGACCAAAAUAAAGCUUUGCAUACCUAACCUAGGGAAGCUGCAUACAGUUGGAGAGCUGGAUUCAACUAAACCUGGCCUGACAGCUCUUCAACAUGUUUUUCUUUUCCAAGUUCCACAUUGCUCACUGUGUCCUUUUAACACUCCUGUUUUUUAUUUUAUCCAUCACACGAAGUUGUAGUUGGUUCUGCCUGCAGUGUUUCUCCAUGAUGUAAUAUAACCUCAUUAUAUACACUCAGGAGCCUGAGAAAUGAGUAUCACAAACCACAGAGUCUUCUUGUUGCUUAGUUACUAUCCUGCAUUUCCUGGAGACUUUACCUUGGCAAAGUAUAUGAUGCUACGUUUUAAUGAAUGUUGAUUGGUCACUGUAUGAUAAAUGCCAGGAAAAACAAUGAAUGAUAAAAAGAAGUGUAAAUCCCACUCUUCUGCCUAUAUCCCAGCUCCAUUUUCACGUCUUUUGGUAUCAGCCCCAGGAUUUGGGGUCUUCUGUUUGAAAAUGAGAUCAGUUCCGUAACAUCUGUAUAGCUUUGCUUGCUAUGGUACUGGGCUGGAAAGAGGCAGGUCAAAGCGAGUGCCCCCCUCACUGGUGUGCCCUGAGGAUGCAGAGGCCCUCUUUGCCUGGUGAUAACACCUUCAAUGCCCGUUAGGGGGCCCAAAAUUGCCAGUUUAUUAUCCCUUUGGGACUGAUGCCUUAAAAUCUCAUUUUGUCUUUGAGAAGUGGUAUUUGGAAUAUUCACACAUCAAAGUGUUAUCGUUCUCUGCUAGCACAGUACCAGCUAGUUUAUCUUAGCCAGCUGGCUUACCUCUCAAGGCACUAAAGGAACGGAAAAACACAGGGCAAUCUCUGUAAGCCUCGUUCCUUCACUUGGUAACCUCUGAAAAGCUAGAGAGAAAGGACCAGUGAGAGAACAGGAUCAGCUCUUGCUGGGGGUCCAGCCAGGAGCCACCAUGGAGGGCCUGGAGCACUUAGAGGAAAACAUGGGGACAUCAGGUAUGCAGGAGAUCAGGCAAAAAACAGUAAAGUCAGCUUAGGAAAGACUCGUACCUCUCACCCCCACUGCCUCAACCUCCUCCAAAGUGUAGAGUUCAUAGCUUUUCCUUGGGAAGCUUCUGUGUAUACAGUGCUCAACAGAAGAGAGGAACAGGAUUUAGGUUACUAUCUUCCAUACCCUAAAAGUGAACAUUGUAAUAUUGCAAAUACAGUAGCAGAAGGAAAGCACUUCUCAGGAAGUAAAAAUACAUCUACUCCUGCUAACAGUUUUCUCCAUUCACAAAAUAUUACUGAUUUUUUUAAAAUUUGGAAAGAAUAUUAAUAUUCAUAGAUGUUAGAUUAGUUGGGCAAAAUAUGCUAAAAAUUGCCAUUUAAUUUAUAAUAGUGAAAAACAAUGCAACCUAAAUGCCCAUGAAUGAUAACUAAUUACAUACAGUGGACUACAAUGGAAUUCUAUGAAGUCAUAAAAAUAAGGAUGUACAUCUGUAUUUAUUGUUAUAGAAAGAAAGCCACGAAAUAUUGUUGAGAGAGAAAGCAGAUUGCAAAACUGAAUAUAUAUGCAAAGAGAUGUUUUUAGGGAUAUUCACUGUUAAACAGUGAUUAACUUAGUUGACUUUUUUUUCCUCUGUUCCUUCUUUUUUCUUUUUUACUUUAAAUAUUUAUCUUUUUUAAAAGAAAUAAUACAUUUCCUCCCUCCAAAAAAGAAUAGCCUAGCGAAAUAUUUUUACUUCAAAUGCUUUUCCCCUUAUUAAUCUUUGUAUAAACCAUUGUGGUUUGCUAAAACAAGGAAGGUUGUAGAGUAGAAUCCAUGCCCACGUUAGAACAAAAUCCAGGCAGGAAGACACUUCAUACGUGGUUAUAAGACCAGGAGGACGAGGAGACAAAGGGAAGCAAUGGUGUUUGUUUGUUUGUUUGUUUGUUUUAAGAGACAGUGUCACUCUGUCACCCAGGUUGGAGUACAGUGGCACCAUCAUAGCUCAGUGCAGCCUCCAACCCCUGGGUUCCAGCGAUCCUCCCACCUAAGCCUCUCUAGUAUCUGGGACUACCGGUAUGCACCACCACAUCCAGCCAAUUUUUAAUUUUUCUUUUUUUGAGACAGGGUCUUGCUAUGUUGCCCAGGCUGGUCUCAAACUCCUAGGCUCAAGCAAACCUCCCAAAGCACUGGGAUUACACGUGUGAGCCACCACACCCGGCCUAGAAGCAAUGGUUCUGAUCCAGGAAAAGUGCAGCCUGGAAACUCAGCAAUCUGUACAGAAUCCUAGCUCUUAGACUAAAAGGCAUCAACUGGUACAAUUUCUUGCCUUUGGGCACUGAACGUGUUAGCUUCUAUUUUAUUUAACUUACUGUAAAAUUAUAUUAGCUAUGCUGCCACUUAAGCCAAGAUGCUUUCUGUCUAGUCACUUCGGUUCCAUCCUUUUGAGCGCCCUGCCGUUUCAUUGCCUCUCCUUUCUCAUUCCUCUCCCCAAGGCUGUACUUUGAGUAACUGUAUGUGCAUUUUCCUGUGCCUUUUCAUUAUUAAAACACUGUAAAAGGUAAUGUCUCCAAAAUGCAAACCAUAGUCUUCUCCAUUGAAAAAUAUUUUCCAGGCCAGGCACUCCACUGUGCCACUGCACUCCACCUGGAUGACAGAGUGAGACUCUGUCUCAAAAAAAAAACAAAAAACUCAUUAAACUGUAAAAUGGGCGCAUUUUAUUUUAUGUAAACUGUAUCUCAGUAAAGUUUAUUUAUUUAUUUUUGAGACAAAGUCUUGCCCUGUUGCCUAGGUUAAAGUGCAGUGGCAUAAUCAUGGCUCCCUGCAGCCUUGAACUCCUGGGCUCAAGCGAUCCUCCUACCUCAGCCUCCUCCCAAGUAUUUGGGACCACGGGCAUGUGCCACCAUGCCCAGCUAAUUUUUUUUUAAGAGAUGGCGUCUUGCUAUGUUGCCCAGGCUGGUCUCGAACUUCUGACCACAAGAGAUCCUCCUGUCUUGGCUUCCCAAAGUUUUGGGAUUACAGGCAUGAACCACCAGGCCUGACCAAAGUUGAUUUUAAAAAAUGAAAGGGGGGCCAAGCGCAGUGACUCAACCCUUAUAAUCCCAGCACUUUGGGAGGCCGAGGCGGGUGGAUCACCUGAGAUAGGGAGUUCAAGACCAGCCUGAUCAACAUGGAGAAACUCUGUCUCUACUAAAAAAUACAAAAUUAGCUGGGAGUGGUGGCGCAUGCCUGUAAUCCCAGCUACUCGGGAGGCCUCAGCUUGAACCCUGUAGGCAGAGGCUGCAGUGAGCUGAGAUCACGCCAUUGCACUCCAGCCUGAGCAACAAGAGCGAAACUCUGUCUCAAAAAAAAAAAAAAAAAGGGUCUGUGCUUGGUGGCUCACACCUGCAAUCCCAGCACUUUGGGAGGCCAAGGUGGGUGAAUCACCUGAGGUCAGGAGUUCGAGACCAGCCUGGCCAACGUGGUGAAACCCCUCUCUACUAAAAAUAAAAAAAUUAGCCAGGUGUGAUGGCGCACGCCUGUAGUCCCAGCUACUCAGGAGGCUGAGGCACAAGAAUUGCUUGAACCUAGGAGGCAGAGGUUGCAGUGAGCCGAGAUCAUGCCACUGCAUUCCAGCCUGGGUGACAGAGUGAGACUCCAUCUCAAAAAACAACAAAAAUGAAAGGGAAAUAAGAGUCAUUACCAAUAUAAUUAGGUUUAAAUUUUUAGUUAAAAUCAAAUUUUAACUGGGAUUGCCAAAAAUGUCCUUAACUUCAUAUCUCCAAAUAAAAUGUCUGCAGUUAAUUUAUGUUGUUUAUACAGCUAGCUAAUUCUCUAUAUUUUUAUAGUAUGUUGACACUUAAAAUUUCAAUCUCUUCUAGUGGUUCCAUGAGUGGGACUGAGGGGAUGAUGGGUGUUCUCAUUAUAGCCUUCAGAAGGCUGCCUAUAUAUAAGUGUGCACAAAUAACUAUUAUUCAGAGAAUUAGAAUCAUCACAAAAUAUCCUUUAUGAAGGAUAAAUAUAGGCUAAUUUAUCCUUUAUGACUGUUAAAUAUAGGCUAAUGUUUCUUUUAUUCUUCAGACCCAUUUCAACUUUAUAGAAAAAAAAGUAUGCACAAAAGCAGCACUCUAUAAUUAAAAAAAAUUCCUUAUUGGUCUUUUGGAUUUUGGUUCUGCAUAAGUAUGAGUUUCUCAUCAGGCCUCUCUAGACUACUAAAGCCUAAAGUGAUGCUUCCCCCAUCUCAGCUCUUAGAGGAAUUACUGGGUGUCUUGUUUAUUUGGCAAUUCCGUGCUUACAAACUCUUUUCAAUGAGAUCUUCAGCUCCUUGAGACCACAGUAGAUACCUACGUAUUUGUCGGUGUAAUUUUGUUGUGUUGAUUUACUGAAUUCAAAGGGUUUGUACAAAUACUUUGUUUACAGGGUUUCAUUACAAAUCCAAAUAAGCUCAUAUGCUUAGUAAUUCCAAAAAUGUUAUAGGUAUUCAGAUUAGCAUUGCUCAUUCAUGCCAUUUAAUUUACAGAGCUCAGCUGCAGUAAUUUUCUCCAGUGGAUGAUGUAAGGAAGGCAUUGGCAGAGGAGUAAGAGACUUGGCUUCAGAGUGGGCAGUAAUAGGGCUAAAUCUGGUUUUACAAAGCAGGUACUGUAAAGCUCUCAUUGCCUUUCUGAGGACAAGGCUUUGAGCUAUGAGUGCCAGGGUCGUCUGUCUAAGUGGAGGCUUCUUAAAGGAAUUGAGCCUCGUUUCCUGGGUUUGAGGUGUAUUCUUUUUCACAUUCCCUUUGUACACCAAAUAUAUUUAGUAUUUAUUAUCUUUGAAGUUUAGACCUUUGGAAUUUUUUUUUUUUUUUGAGGCAAAGUCUCACUGUAGCCCAGGCUGGAGUGCAGUGGUGUGAUCUCAGCUCAUUGCAACCUCUGCCUCCUAGGUUCAAGCGAUUCUCCUAUAUCAGCCUCCUGAGUAGCGAGGACUACAGGCACGUGCCCACCAUGCCCUGCUAAUUUUUGUAUUUUUAGUAGAGACAGGGUUUCACCAUGUUGGCCAGGCUGGUCUCAAACUCCUGACCUCAGGUGAUCUGCCUUCCCUGGCCUCCGGACAUGCUGGGAUUACAGGUGGGAGCCACCACGCCAGGCCACAGUUUGAUGAGUUUUGAGAAAGUAAUAUACGCAUGUAACCACCAUCACCACAAUCAAGAUCUAGAACAUUUCCAUCACCCCAAAAUUCCCUGGUACUCGUCCCUGGUCCCAGGCAAGCCCUGAUCUGUUUUCUGUCACUGUGGAUCAGAUUUGUCUUUUCUAGAGUCUCAUAAAAAUGUGAUCUUAUAAAAUGUAUAGACUCUUGUGUGUAAGGUUUCUUUUCCUCAGCAUAAUGUUUUUAGACUUGUCUAUGUUGCAUGAAUGAGUGGUUCAUUUCUGUUUAUCACUGAGUAUUUUUCCAGUGUAUGUAUAUACCACAAUUUGUUUAUAUACCACAAAUGUUGAUGGACAUUUAGGCUUUGUCCAGUUUUGUCUAUUAUGAAUAAAGCCAUUAUGAACAUCUAUGUACAAGUUUUUGUGUGGACAUGUUUUCUCUUGGGUAAAUAUCUAGGAGUAAGACUACUGGGUUGUAUGCUAAGUGUAUGUUUAAUUUUAAAAGAAAUGGCCACCGCACCCAUCCAAGUUUUACCUUUUAAGCUUAGGUACAUGAUCCAAUUUGAGGUGAAUUUUGUGUAUGAGUAAGUUAAUAAUCAAUGUUCAUUUUUUCCCAUAUGGAUAUCCAGUUUUUCCGGUACCAUUUGUUGAAAAGACUGUCUUUCCCCUAUUGACUUACUGUGGCCACUUUGUCAAAAAUUACUUGCCCAUAGACAUGCGGGUUCAUUUAUUUUGUUCCAUUGAUCCAAAUGUUGAUCCUUUAAUAAUAAUGUAGCUUUAUAGUCAGUCUUGAAAUUUGAUAGUUUGAAUAUUCCAACUUUGUUGUUCUUUUUCAAAAAUUUUUUGCAUUCUAAGUCCUUUGUGUUUUUAUAUAAAUUUUAGAAUAAGUUAUGUAAGUGCCUGCUGGGAUUUUCUUUUUUUUGAGACAGGGUCUUACUAUGUCACCCAGACUGAAGUGCAGUGGCAUGAUCACAGGUCAUUGCAUCCUCAACCACCCAGACUCAAGCAAUCCUCCUGUCUCAGCCUUCCAAGUAACUGAGACCACAGAAAUAACCAUGGAUAUGGGUAGAGACAGAGCCAUAUGGAAUGCACACUGCAGUGGUGAACACAUGGCCCAGCUCUGCCAUCAAGGAGAAGGUGAGAACAUGGGGGAAGAUUUUAUCGAAGUUUCUUUUCUGGGGCAUAUGCUCAGGUUAAACACCUGCUCUGUAUCUCUAGCUUCUGACUCCUACCCCUGGCCAGCUCUGUUACUCUAGUACACUGCUAGGCAGGCAGAGUAUGGCCAAAGUAUUCACAACAGUGCAUCACUAAAUCAACUGGGAUCCACACAAUGGAAUAUCCUAAUGCAUCAUUAAAAAUCACAUUGUAAAAGAAGAUUUUAUAACAGAAAAAAAUGCACUGUAUAUGAUACAUUUUUAAAAUGUUACUUAUGCCAGUCACAAUAAAAGACAAUUACACUUAUAUGGGAUAGAGUAGUCAAUAUUAUAGAGACAGAAGGUAGAAAUGGGUCUGGGUGGAAAUUAGAAUGAGAUGUUCUUAGCAUUCCAGUUUUACAAGAUGAAAAGAGUAACGGAGACAGAUGGCAGUGGUGGUUGCAUGACAUUAUGAAUGUACAUAAUUAAAAAUGGGUAAGAUGGCACAGUGAGAUACCAUCUCACACCAGUCAAAAUGGCUAUUACUAAAAAGUCAAAAAAAUAACAGAUGCUGGGGAGCUUGUAGAGAAAAGGGAAUGCUUAUACACUGCUAGUGGCAGUGUAAGUUAGUCCAGCCACUGUGGCAAUUCCUCAAAGAACUUAGAACUAUCAUUUGACCCAGCAAUCCCAUUACUGGGUAUAUACCCAAAGGAAUAUAAAUUGUUCUGCCUUAAAGACACAUGCAUGUGAUUGUUCAUUGCAGCACUCUUUAUAAUAACAAAGACAUGGAAUCAACCUAAAUGCUCAUCAACAGUAGACUGGAUAAAGAAAAUGUGGUUCAUAUACACCAUGGAAUACUAUGCAGCCAUAAAAAAGAAUGAGAUUAUUUCCUUUGCAGGAACAUGAAUGGAGCUGGAGGCCAUCAUCCUUAGUGAACUAACACAGGAGCAGAAAACCAAAUACCACAUGUUCUCAUGUGUAAGUGGGAGCUAAAUGAUGAGAACACAUGGACACAAAGAGGGGAACAACAGACACUGAAGCCUCCUUGAGGGAGGAGGGUAAGAGGAAGGAGAAGAUCAGAAAAGAUAACUACCAGGUACUAUGGUAGCUUAGUACCUGGGUGAUGAAAUAAUCUGUACACCCAACCCUCAUGACAGAAGUUUACCUGUGUAACAAACCUGCACAUGUAUCCCUGAAACUAAAAGUUUUUUAAAAAGUUAUUUAAUAUAUAUAUAUUUUUUUGAGACGGAGUUUUGCUCUUGUUGCCCAGGCUGGAGUGCGGUGGCGCAAUUUCGGCUCACCACAACCUCCGCCUCCCAGGUUCAAGCUAUUCCCCUGCCUCAGCCUCCCUAGUAGCUGGGAUUACAGGCUUGUGCCACCACGCCGGCUAAUUUUGUAUUUUUUGUAGAGACGGGGUUUCUCCAUGUUGGUCAGGCUGGUCUCGAACUCCCGACCUCAGGUGAUCCACCCCCCUCGGCCUCCCAAAGUGCUAGGAUUACAGGCAUGAGCCACUGCGCCCGGCAAAAAGUUAUUUAAUAUUAAUGGGACAAUACUCAUUGCAAGAAUCAGACUUCAAUUGCUAGCAUAAGUAAAUGACAGGCAGGAGAUAUUGAAAAUGCAAUCUUAUAGACAUUCAAGGAGAGGACGCAGGACAUUUCUGUGUCAUAAAUGUACUAUGGAAAAUAAAAAUGAGAAAAAUGGAAAUAAAAUACAAGAAAAGGUUAUGAUAAAUUUCAUAUUAUUUUACCACAAUAAAAAAAUUUUAAUAAAUUAUAAAUGGUGUGAUAUGUUUUGCCUGUGUUCCACCCAAAUCUCAUCUUGAAUUAGAGCUCCCACAAUUCCCACGUGUUGUGGCUGGGACCCUGUGGGAGAUAAUUGAAUCAUGGGGGCAGUUUACCCCAUACUGUUCUCUUGGUGGUGAAUAAGUCUCAUGAGAGUUGAUGGUUUGAUAAGGGGUUUCCCCUUUUGCUUGGCUCUCAUUCUCUCUUGACUGCCACCAUGUAAGAUGUGCCUUUUGCCUUCCACCAUGAUUGUGAAGCCUCCCAGCCACAUGGAACUGUGAGUCCAUUAAACCUUUUUCUUUACAAAUUACCCAGUCUCGAGUAUGUCUUUAUCAGCAGUGAGAGAACAGACUAAUAUGAGUGUGAUCUAAUUAACAUAAAGGGAGAAUGAGGA
rnacentral:lncRNA from 1 species